GAUCGACACGACCUGCCCAUAAGUCACGUAUUAUCGCGCAACGUCUUUCAAUUUGUAUAAUUGUAUACAACAGUAUACUUUGUUCAAUGAAUGAGUCAUAACUUCUUAAGGAAUAAAUUUCAGUUGAGUGACAGAGCUGACAUACACUGUUUUAUAUUGGCGAUGUAAAUUUUUUUUAUUAAAUUUCUAGAUAUGUAUGAAUAAAAAAUGACUGGACUGAUUUUUAAAGUCUUUUACCCAGAGAAUGCCAUAUUAUUACUGAGUGACAAAGGCUAUAUUUAAAUAGAAUAUAAUGCUAUUUAAAUACAGCCAAAAUAAUGUUAUCCACGCGGGUGAAAAGCUGGGAGUGUAAUUUUAUAACACUUAUAGCUUUUUACAAUCGAUGAGACAAUAAAUAAGCUGCAAACUAUAUAAAAAAA